UGCUGACCCCCUCUGCCGCCGGUGACGAGCCACCUCUCCGACUUCCCUGUGCGCCGGCCGAAGUUUCCCUUCCUUGUGUCUCUGAUCUAGAGUGAUUGCGGCCUUGUUUCUGCCCUAUGCGACGCCGCCUCUGUACACUAUGCCUAGGUCGCCGGAAAUCAAGAGCUUAAGAAGGUGACAGGGGGUAGUUGUAACCCGGCCAGUGGGACUGAAGGUGAGGGCUUAGGGUUUGUUUUUGUUUUCAAUUCUGUGCUUUGAUUCUUAUCCUGCCGUGAGCAGCACUUGGGUGUGGGAUGGCUAAUUUAGUGUAUAGGGUUUGGUGGACAGCGGCUUCACCAACUUCUGAUUCUCGCUGUCAUCAUCGAAGAAGAGCAACUUGAUCAGGGCAGUAGGUUGUUACGUCUGGCCAGUAGGUUUGAUUUGGGGCUGUUGGAACUUGUCGUGGCAAUCUUGCUUUGGUUGAGGGCAUCAAGGAAGAGCCACUCACCUUGUUCCAGCAGCAAACACAUUCCUUGAUUAUGGAUUAAUCACGGCCGUGAAUUGAGGACUUUGACGCGAGACGAGUAUCUUGGAGUCAUCUUGGACCUUU